GGAUGUGAGGGCGAUCUGGCUGCGACAUCUGUCACCCCAUUGAUCGCCAGGGUUGAUUCGGCUGAUCUGGCUGGCUAGGCGGGUGUCCCCUUCCUCCCUCACCGCUCCAUGUGCGUCCCUCCCGAAGCUGCGCGCUCGGUCGAAGAGGACGACCAUCCCCGAUAGAGGAGGACCGGUCUUCGGUCAAGGGUAUACGAGUAGCUGCGCUCCCCUGCUAGAACCUCCAAACAAGCUCUCAAGAAAAUCAGCACAGACCAGUAGUCAAAGGUAAGUAAUUUUCCCAGGUCAUUCCACAAAUAAAUGACCAAAUCUGGACUUGGACCCAGACGUCCUGUUUCAU
rnacentral:snRNA from 1 species